UACGUAGGGUGCGAGCGUUAAUCGGAAUUACUGGGCGUAAAGCGUGCGCAGGCGGUUAUUUAAGUCAGGUGUGAAAGCCCUGGGCUUAACCUAGGAAUUGCGCUUGAGACUGGAUAGCUUGGAGUGCGGCAGAGGGAGGUGGAAUUCCACGUGUAGCAGUGAAAUGCGUAGAGAUGUGGAGGAACACCGAUGGCGAAGGCAGCCCCCUGGGGUAACACUGACGCUCAUGCACGAAAGCGUGGGGAGCAAACAGG
rnacentral:rRNA from 1 species